rnacentral:pre_miRNA from 1 species
UCUGGUUUCCGUGUCUAACAUUUAACCGUCCGUCUUAUUUAAAAAAAUUAUAAAAAAAAUAAAAAGACAAGUCACAUAUAAAAUAUUAAUCAUGUUUUAUCAUCUAACAACAAUGAAAAUACGAAUUAUAAAAAAAUUUCAUAUAAAACGGACAGUUAAAGUUGGACACGGAAACCCAAGAUUUAACUUUUU